UACGUAGGGUGCAAGCGUUGUCCGGAAUUAUUGGGCGUAAAGAGCUCGUAGGCGGUUUGUCGCGUCUGCCGUGAAAGUCCGGGGCUCAACUCCGGAUCUGCGGUGGGUACGGGCAGACUAGAGUGAUGUAGGGGAGACUGGAAUUCCUGGUGUAGCGGUGAAAUGCGCAGAUAUCAGGAGGAACACCGAUGGCGAAGGCAGGUCUCUGGGCCGAUACUGACGCUGAGGAGCGAAAGCGUGGGGGAGCGAACAGG
rnacentral:rRNA from 1 species